GAUGAACGCUGGCGGCGUGCUUAACACAUGCAAGUCGAACGAAGCACUGAGGAAUGAUUCUUCGGAUGAAAGCCUCUUUGACUGAGUGGCGGACGGGUGAGUAACGCGUGGGUAACCUGCCUCACACAGGGGGAUAACAGUUGGAAACGACCGCUAAUACCGCAUAACCCGCUGGCACCGCAUGGUGCUGACGGAAAAGAUUUUAUCGGUGUGAGAUGGACCCGCGUCUGAUUAGCCAGUUGGCAGGGUAACGGCCUACCAAAGCGACGAUCAGUAGCCGGCCUGAGAGGGUGAACGGCCACAUUGGGACUGAGACACGGCCCAA
rnacentral:rRNA from 1 species